rnacentral:SRP_RNA from 1 species
GCCGGGUGUGGUGGCGCACCUGUAGUCUCAGCUACUUGGGAGGCUGAGGUGGGAGGAUUGCUUGAGCCUGGGAGAUCGGGGCUGCAGUGAGCCGUGAUCAAACCACUGCACUCUAGCCUGGGCAACAGAGUGAGACCUCAUUUCAA